CCUACGGGGGGCAGCAGUCGCGAAAACUUUGCAAUACACGAAAGUGUGACAGGGCUAUCCCGAGUGCCGUCCGCUGAGGGUGGCUUUUACUCAGUUUAGCAAGCUGGGAGAAUAAGGAGAGGGCAAGUCUGGUGUCAGCCGCCGCGGUAAUACCAGCUCUCCGAGUGGUGUGGAUGUUUAUUGGGCCUAAAGCAUCCGUAGCUGGCUGAGUUAGUCCCCUGUUAAAUCCAGCAAAUUAAUUGUUGGUGUGCGGGGGAUACUGCUCGGCUAGGGGGCGGGAGAGGCAGACGGUAUUUCCGGGGUAGGGGUGAAAUCCUAUAAUCCCGGGAAGACCACCAGUGGCGAAGGCUGUCUGCUAGAACGCGCCCGACGGUGAGGGAUGAAAGCUGGGGGAGCGAACCGGAUUAGAUACCCCCGUAGUCC
rnacentral:rRNA from 1 species